rnacentral:rRNA from 1 species
CCUACGGGUGGCAGCAGUGGGGAAUAUUGGACAAUGGGGGGAACCCUGAUCCAGCCAUGCCGCGUGUGUGAAGAAGGCCCUCGGGUUGUAAAGCACUUUCAGUGAGGAAGAACGCCUGGUGGUUAAUACCCAUCAGGAAAGACAUCACUCACAGAAGAAGCACCGGCUAACUCCGUGCCAGCAGCCGCGGUAAUACGGAGGGUGCGAGCGUUAAUCGGAAUUACUGGGCGUAAAGCGCGCGUAGGUGGCUUGAUAAGCCGGUUGUGAAAGCCCCGGGCUCAACCUGGGAACGGCAUCCGGAACUGUCAAGCUAGAGUGCAGGAGAGGAAGGUAGAAUUCCCGGUGUAGCGGUGAAAUGCGUAGAGAUCGGGAGGAAUACCAGUGGCGAAGGCGGCAUUCUGGACUGACACUGACACUGAGGUGCGAAAGCGUGGGUAGCAAACAGGAUUAGAUACCCUAGUAGUC